rnacentral:rRNA from 1 species
UACGUAGGGUGCGAGCGUUGUCCGGAAUUACUGGGCGUAAAGAGCUCGUAGGUGGUUUGUCGCGUUGUCCGUGAAAACUCACAGCUUAACUGUGGGCGUGCGGGCGAUACGGGCAGACUGGAGUACUGCAGGGGAGACUGGAAUUCCUGGUGUAGCGGUGGAAUGCGCAGAUAUCAGGAGGAACACCGGUGGCGAAGGCGCUCAUCUGGCCCAAUACUGACGCUGAGGCGCGAAAGCUAGGGGAGCAAACGGG